CGGUCAGAGUAGGUCCAAUCAUACGGCUUCAUCCCACCCCGAAAGCAGAUGAGCGCUGGGGAAUGUUUUCAGCCACCUGGAGGAGGAAGUUCAGCGCGGAAGAAAUGUUACCAGACUUCACCGAUCUGGUAUCUGGACUUUUUUGAUGAUCUCAUAGAGAUUGUGUGUGCAGAUGGGCGGUUAAAGUUCUGGGAGGGAAAGAUUUGUAACUUUAAGGAUAUAUAUGAAGCCGAAAACACCCACAACAAUGGGGUAACUAACAUAAACCUCGCCGGUGACGGAGUUGAGUGAACGAAUCGGUUUUCUGAGACUGGAAACGUACACGUAUGGUUGUCAGAUCUAUUGGGGAUUUACGUCUGUAUAUGGGCGAACUCACGUACGCAGCGGUUCGGCAGGAAGCAUUUCAGCAAUCCGCCGGAUCAAAUCCGUCCACAGCUUUCCCAGCUCAACAUCACGCAUCCGAGGAGGAGCUUCGAUGUAUCCUAGAGUUUCACCAGCAGGGUUACCGGUAACAUGUUUGGAAGUGGCGGGCGGUACAGUCAUGACUGGCAGCCAGGGCCACACUGUUAACGUGUUCCGGCUCGAUAGCCACCUAUUGCAGUUCACCCUAAACGGCCAUUGCGGUCCUAUUACAUGUAUUUUCAUAGACCAGUGGCAGGCUGAGAUGGGCGCAUCUGGUUGCCAGGAUGGUGUGCUAUAUGUGAGGGACUUGAUACGGGGUGCCUGUAUGUACAAAAUUGAAGCCCAUGACGACUCAAUCGUCGCACUUGCCUGUUCCCCGAGUUACGCAAUAUCGCUCGGACUGAACGAAUGAAUACGGUUCUGUGACUACGGAAAUCAAAUGAGAAUCGUUCGUUUCCCUCUUGUUGCGUCGGAAAAGUGGUUCGGUCGGGGGAAUCGUAAUCGACCAGCUAACAAAAACAAAUGUACAGCAGCUUCUGAACGAAGCCAUUGCUAGCACGAGUUUUUGAUUUGGAAGGAUAGUUGCUGAGGACCAUUCUUACAAUAGUAUAAAAGUUCUAACCUCAAAAACACAACAAUAAAAUGUAUUUCUUUCAGAGUUUAUCAUAUCCAUUACAUGAUCAAUUGCGCUGAUGGGUAAGGCUUUGGAUUCGGUUAUAUUCCAUCAUCAUUGAAGCUAGAUCAUAGAAUCAUGUUAAUUUGACAGGCUGCAAGUGUUAUUAGUAGCACAAACAGCUAGCAGCCCAGCUAGUAUUGUUCUUUCUGCUUGCAACCAACCUGGUAAUA